CUCAAUCCCCUUCUCUUUUCUCGGACCCUUACUUCAAAUCUCUUGUGCGAACUUCUAGUUUUGUCGUUUCAGAAGAUGGUACUUUCGACGAUCCUAACAAGGGCGGUUUUGUGGCCAGUCUCUCUCCCAUAUCGUAAUUUAAUGGGCCUCAUUUUCUACCAGUCCCCCUUUCGACAAGUUUACACCUGAAAUUGUUUAGUAAGAAACGUCUAGUGCCCACUGUGGGGCUCGUUAAGCUUCUGAUACUACAAAACUACUGAAGUGCCCCUCCAAACAUUGUCCCGAAGCGUCACCAAUAGGAGGAAGCUCGCACUCUGUUGUUUUCAGGUCUUUUCUAAGAAAUCCACUUGGCCACUGCAGUUCCAAUAGUUGCCGGAAAACUGUGGCUGGGACUGUCAAGUCCGCUCGAAAUUGUCGAUUGAAGCCAAGUACUCAUCGGGGUGGAUGAGCAAUGGCCGAGGAAGACCCAUGGAGGUUCGAGGGUUGUCAUAUCGGAUUUGGUUUACAGAGGAACGAGUCUCAACAGUGAACUGACAGAGACAAAGACAAGCCAAGAGUCCAGGUCCAGCACAACAACACAAACCUCAUUCACCACCACAACCGCAAGGUAAAAAAUGGAUGGAGAACUGAGUGAUGCUUCUUCUCAAGUAUCCAAUGCACCGCUUCAUAAUCUUGAAGCUUAUGACCCUGAUAUACCACAAUAUAUGGCACCCCUCCCUCCACCUCCAACUACCGAACAUCAAGGAAUCCCCCCCCAUAAUCGGAAAUAUUUUACAACGCACCUAAUUUAGACUUCCCGCCGAUAUCUUUUAAAAUAGGCUUCAGGAGAUUUUAAUGCGAGGUGGUGAACCCCUCCCCCAAUACACAGUUCGUAGUUACAAUCCUCCACGUGCUAUGGUAUUCCAAGUGACGGUAACUAUAUGCGGCCGCACAUUCCAGGCUGAGGCCUCAUGCACUAAAAAUGAUGCAGAGAAAUCUGCAGCUCGUGAGGCCCUUGUUUUUAUUAAUCUCCUCCAUACUUUGGCUGAUACAUUAUUUGAGACCCUUAGAGAGAACGAGGGCCUCCGACAGCUUCAAGCCAAAUGGUUAGCGCCCUAGAUGCCUCGCGCUUAAUUUCUGGGAGAGCUGAGAGAGAACUAUUAGGCAUUCAGAAUGCCAUGCAAGCUCUUUCACGAGAGUAUGAACUGGUAGUGAAUGUAAACAUCCAACUAAGUACCCAGCUCGCAGCUUACCGAAAUGAACCUCUCCCACCUCUUGAUUUCAAUUUGGAGGAUCUCUAGCCCAUUUAGAUGCUGACAGCCUCGUCCCAAUUUCCUUUUUAUGCCUCUUUCCUUUUUUAGUGGCAUAUGGUGGCCUUAGGGUCUACCAUAAUCGGUAUUGUUAAGUAUCGUGGCGGCGCUCAUCGAUUUUUUUGAGAUCCUUGGUGGAGGGUGGCAGGAGGGGAGGGGCUAGCCAAUGCAUGCAGCUAUGGAUCGAGGCUUGGAGCUUUCAUGAUCGUGGUCGUUGGUGGAGGGUACCGUCAUCAUACUUAUUUUUUUAUGUGCCCAUGGGGCGAACGCUUCUACUCUUAUCUUUUACAUUCCUCUUACUGUAAUUAUUUGCACAUUGUUGUGCAUUUAAU